GCUGGAGAAAUUACCAACUAACCGUCUCAACAUCAGAAUGCAGAAAAGUCUCCAGGGAAAACUUGGGUUAAGGAUAUAGUGGCAAUUAUAUUUUUGCAAAGCAUUUCUCUGCAGCCUUUUUUUUCUGAUUACAGGCAAGCCAUACACAGCUUGUUUAUCACAGAUGAUGGUUAUUUUAAGGUUUGUAAACCUUGAAAUAAACAUUUAGACAGUACACAUAAUUUGCAGAUUUUUAGUACACUAACUCUUUAGAAGUAGGACAACAUAUUUCCUACAGUUUGGGUUUUAGAAAGUAGCAACUCUUGCAUUUAAAAAGUAAAUAAAUCAUAGAUUAGAGUUCAACAGAGAUCCAAAAUUCUGGAAGUGAAUAUAGGUGAGUGAUAUAUGACCAAAAUCUUCAUGCUAUUUUAAUUAGCAAUAUUUCACAAUGUUAUGGUAUCAAAUGUUUAGAUAUCAUUGGAAUUUCAUAAUUCACAUAAUUUUCUGUUAAACAGUAAUACAAUUAAAGUUAAAUUAAAUUAAGCAUUCAAACAAAUAAUUAUUACAGAUACAGCAUAAACAGCAGUAGUAAAAUAAAUACAAAGAAACAUUUGCAAAUUGCAACCAUUCAAACAAAUAGUAGUCAACGUUUGAAGUGGAUCAAAAAAGUUGAUCAGUUUUGCCCUAAAACAAGAACACAGUUUGAUUUUAGGGUUUACUGUAGAACAACAUUAAUUAAAGGUUUUGAUCCACUUAAAAAGUAGUUAUUACAAAGAUACAGCAUAAACAACAACAGAAAAAAAAUAAAAAUAAAAGAAACUGCAGAGUCUGGUAUGAAUUAAAUAUAUUCCUUGAUUCUCAGUGUUUCUAAAGCUACAAAAAUAAUUCAGUCAAAAGUAGGGGUGUGACGAGACAGACUGGGUUCAAAAGAAAAAGACAAGACAAGAUUUGUAAACUAUUUUAAAUAAAUUCUUUAAAUGAAAAAAAAAAAACACAAAAUGCAUUUUGAAACCAAAUUGGACUUUAUGAACUUUUUAUGUAUACAUAAAAAUAAAUAAUAAACAAAACAAAUAAUAACCCUUUAAAGUAGCGGUCAGUCAAGUUUAUUAUUUAGUAAGAUGAUUUCCACUUUAAUAAAAAUAAUAAUAAAAAAUUAUUGAACGGAAAGUUCAGGGUCCCAGGGCAGAGCCAACAGGGCAGGAAUCCAGGGUGGAGCAGAUGGAACUGGAGCCCACCACAGCCGAGCAGACGGGACUGAUGCCCACCAGGGCAGUGCAGAGAAGCACCACCGCCCUGCAGUCAAGACAGAAGCCCACCAGGGUGGCGCAAAGGGCCACCACAGCCGAACAGAUAAGACAGAUGCCCACCAGGGCGGAGCAGAGGACCACCACAGCCGAGCAGACGAGACAGAAGACCAUCAGGGCAGCGCAGAGGACCACCACAGCUGUGUGGUCGAGACAGAAGCCCACCAGGGCGGCACAGAGGACCACCACAGCCAUGCGGUCGAGACAGAAGCCCACCAGGGCGGUGCAGAAGACCACCACAGUGGGAUCGAUGGCACAGGAGAGCAAGUCUGGUUAGGUAAGCCUGAAAAAGAGAACAUGAACAGCUUAAGGGCAGGCAGUGAGUUCCUGGAUGGCCUCCAUGGCCAUGACAGGAUAGGUCGAGCACUCAGGAAGUUCGGCUGAGACGUUUUGAGGCUCUGAAGUUCCGCAGAGAUGUGUCAAGGCUCUUGAAGUUCCGCAGAGAUGUGACAAGGCUCUGGAAGUUCAUACCAUUCCUACUGCCAUGGUCCAGAACCUUUGCACCAAGCCACCCACCUCACUCCCCUUUUGACAGAGGGUGGUUAAGUUUGAAAGUCUCCCCAUCCGCUCCUCUAUGGUGGCUGGGUAACGGAUACAAAAUCCCACAGCGCUGGAUCUGGGCAUGAUGGAGUCCUUCACAAUAUUCUAAUAUAUAUACAGUGGGGAUCGAAAGUUUGGGCACCCCUUGCAGAAUCUGUGAAAAUAUGAGUAAUUUUCAAAAAAUAAGAGAGAUCAUACUAAAUGCAUGUUAUAUUUUAUUUAGUACUGUCCUGAUUAAGAUAUUGUGCAUAAAAGAAAUUAACAUUUAGUCCACAAGACAAAAAAAAUGCUGAAAUUAUUAAAAUAACCCUACUCAAAAGUUUGGGAACCCUUGGUUCUUAGUACUGUUUGCUGUUACCUGAUGAUCCACGACUGUCUUUCUGUUUUGUGAUGGUUGUGCAUGAGUCCCUUGUCUGUUCUGAACAGUUAAACUGAGCAGCGUUCUUCAGAAAAAUCUUUAAGGUCCUGCAGAUUCUUUAGUUUUCCAGCAUCUUUGCAUAUUUGAACCCUUUCCAGCAGUGACUUUAUGAUUUUGAGAUGCAUCUUAUCACACUGAGGACAUUUGAGGGACUCACACACAACCAUUUAAAAAGAUUCAAACAUUCACUGAUGCUCCAGAAGGAAACGAGAUGCAUUAAGAACUGGGGGUGGGAAAUGUAGUGCUCCAGUGAGGUGACUAUGGGGAAGUGAGACCACUAGUGGACACCCAGGGAUACACAGACCAGACAAUAUAACACCCCCCCCCCCCUCUAAGAAGCAGCUACCAGAUGCUCCUCAGAACACAAAAACAAACCAAAGAACAAAGAGACCAGCAGGGAGGUGGACUGGUGGAGAAUCAGGGGGAGGGACGGAGUGAAAAAAUAAACAAAAAAACAAAGAGACCAGGGUGGAUUGGAGAGUUCAGGGGCCCAGGGCAGUGCCGACAGAGCAGGAAUCCAGGGUGGAGCAGGUGGAACUGGAGUCCACCGGGAUGGUGCAGGCGGAACAGGAGCUCACCCCAGCCAAGCAGACGGGACCAAAGCCCACCAGGGCAGCGCAGAGGACCACCACAGCAGAGCAGUUGAGACAGAAGCCCCCAGGGCGGAGCAGAGGACCACCACAGCCGUCCGGAUGAGACAGAAGCCCACUAGGGCGGCGCAGAGGACGACCACAGCCGAGGAGACCAGACAGAAGCCCCCCAGGGCGGAGCAGAGGACAACCACAGCCGUGCGGACGAGACAGACGCCCACCAGGGCAGUGCAGAGGACCACCACAGCCGUGCGGACGAGACAGAAGCCCACCAGGGCAGCGCAGAGGACCAGAACCUCAGUGCGGUCGAGACAGAAGCUCACCCCACUAGUGGACAUCCAGGGGUACACAGACCAGACACUGUGACAAUGAGAUCUCAUCACACCCCUAAUAAAUAUAUUGAUUCAUGGAAAUGAGAUAAACCUUUUGCUCUGUCAUCAAAUUAACAUUAAGAUAUAGUCUGUUUGGUGGCAACAGAAACUUUAAAAGCAUAAAGUCUUCUAAUGGAGGGAGUUCUAGUGUUACAAAUGAUAUCACCAUAGGUUGACCACAGCAGUGAGGACAGACUACAUCUGAGCAUUUGUAACCCCAUCUUGGAAACAACACGUUUUUUUCUGGUUCAACCUCAGACAAAAGAAUUUCAAGUGAGGCUUCUGUAUCAGCAACGGAAAUCUGCUCUUGCUUAACUGAAGUGAGGUGCAUUAGUUUUGGUCUCAUCUGUUUAAUAGAUCAGACCUCAAAACAGCAUGCUGGCAAGAAACAGGCAAGCCAAAUGAGAAAUGUUUGUGGGCAGAGACAGGGAAGAAACCCACUGAUAGGCCAUUGCUCUCCAAAACACCAGAGGCCUCAUGUAUCAACCUUGCGUAUGCACAAAAACUUUGGGUACGCCAGCUUUCAUGCUCACAGUCAGAUGUACUAACAGUGAAAUUAACGCGAGCCAAUUUCAUCUCUGCCGUACAUACAUUUCUCAUUGUUUUUGUCCGUUGGUGACUCUCACAGGCAAUGAAGUGAAGUUGCAAACAUUACACAACAAAUUGUUCUACAAGUCUAUCGCACCACCACCUGUGGGAAGAAUUGCUAUUAAUUUGCAAUUUAUAAAAUAAUUGACAUAUAUUGUCACACGAGCCUUAUUGGAAUAUUCUAUCAAUUAUGCAACUAAGUAAGAACAUAUAAAAGCAUAUGCAAAUUGAUACAACCCUUAGUCUAUGGCAAUGGCAGCUUUGGACUUUGCUAAUGGCAGAAUUUGAUGAGAACAAUUUUUUAGGGACCACAAUGAUUUUCUGGCCCAGGAUGAUGACUGGCUUAUCAGCCAUUUCAGAUUUCCAAGGGCUAUCCUCUUGGAGCUCUGUGCUGAGUUGGGUCCGAAUCUAGAGAGAGAGAGACAGCGAGGAGCCAUGCAAUACCCAUUCCCUUGCAGGUGCUGACAACACUUGGUUUCCUGGCAACUGUUUUUUUCCAAAGGGAACUGGCAGACUGCUCAGGAAUAAGCCAGUCAUCUUUAAUCCGCACAAUGCCAGCGGUAUGGGGUGGGAUAAUCCGCAUGUCUACCAGGUAUAUAAGGUUCCCAUAUGAUGUAGGUGACCAGCCAAACAUUAAAACACAAAUUGCAGCGAUAGCCGGUUUUCCUAAUGUAAUUGGACUGAUCGACUGCACACACAUUGCCAUAAAGGUACCAUCUGAAAAAGAAUUUGCGUAUGUGAAUCGGAAUCAUUUCCAUUCAAUAAAUGUGGACAUAAUAUGUGAUGCCUGUGGCCUGUGGUGUGCUGCACAAUGUCGCGCACAGGCAUGGCAUACCACUUGGUGAGGUGGCAGCAGCGUCAGAUGGCCCUGACCCAGGACCAAAAAUGAGUGGCUUAUGUCUGUGAGUGUGUCAGUGAUAUUUUACAGGUGACUGUUAAUAUCUCAGAUUGCCUUAACUAUUUGCUGUUGUGACUCCAAAACAGCAUGCGUCAAGAUGCAGACAGACAGAGUUUCAGCACUGGGGGGAACACUGGAAACGCUGGGCCUAGAGGGCGCUGGUUGCUCAGGAGGGGCAGAUUCUGAGUGUGUGCCAGUGGAUGUUUUGGCUGUUGCACCAUUGGAGUCUAAAUAAACACAGGCACAUGUUAACUGAUUUGAGUCUGUUCCUUAUUAAUGGGUACACACAUUUGAUAUAAAUGCAAUGGAUACGUAAAAUCUCUGGUGUACUUUUGGUCAGCUACAUUGCAUGCAUUUGACAAAUAAAUCUGAGUCUCCCACAGCAGCAGAUACUACUCCAGUAAAGUGUCACCCAUGAUUGAGGCAACUCUCUGCUCAAAGGGUGUAAGUUCAUCGACCCCUUUACCACUGCCUAUUCUGCCCACACUUUGUCAGUGUGCAACAGUUCUCCAUUUAACGUCCAUCUUUAUAUCAGACCAUUUCUUUUUAAGGUCAUUUACAGUACGACUUUCAGAUCCCACCACAUUGACGGCUUCAGCCAAACUCUCCAACUCAUAUUUUUUCCUUUUGUUAUUAAUUCCGAACGACAAAGUUCCAAAUAAAAAAUUUUUUCUCGUUUCUACCUCCGAUAGUAGUACCUCCAAUUCACUUUCUGUAAAGUUUUCUUUCUUGCUUCUUGCCUGAGCCAUUUUCUUACUGCUUUCUUUUGCCAAAGUGGACUCAUUACGAUAUUUAAAUUCAUUUAAUUAGGGGAGGAGAUUGGGUGUGGCGUUGUGCUCCUGCAUGUGCACUCAAUUUUACAUUAAUUGGGAUGUAGAAAGAGAAUAUGCGUUGGAUCCUUCGUACGCAGAUAUUCAUAUAUCUAUUUCUUUGUGUGUGUGUGUACGCACAUUUACAGCUUUGUGCGUACGCAAUGUUUUAGUAUGAAUUCAACGCAAGUCUUUGUACAUGAGGCCCCAGAUGUGAUGGGGUUGCCAGAAUGACAUCUGAAGGUCAUUGAGAGAAAGGGCCUGAUGAAAAGAUAUCACUUUCCAUACCCCCAAAAGUGCCCACCCUGGAAGACCCAAAUGCCUUGGCAAUUCUCAAACAUUAGACCGAAUUUGUGAGCGUCAUGCGAGAAAUAAUCUUGAAUGCUUUGUGGCACAUAUUUUCGGCAAUUCUUUGUGCUUGCUUGUCUUUUUCCAUCUUUGGCUACUAUACACAAAGGACCUACAGUAUUACCAGCAAUCACAGACAAUUCACUUCUGAAGAUAAAGAAGCUGGUGAUGUAAUUUGCAGAGAUCAUUUUAUGACCAUUACUAACGUUUUUAGCAUGUGCUUAUACAAAAUUCCACACCGACACACACCUAAUCAGACCAUAUACUCCAUAAAUAAACAGUAAAUAAACAGUAAAGUAAGAAUAUAUAUACAUAUAUAAAAAAAUAACUGUAACCAGUUGUAUCAGAUCCCAAAGCAGAAGAAAUUGAAACAAUGCAAACAAAAUGGUUGUAAAAGUCUGUUUCAGUGUGGUUAUAGCUGUUGCUUUCUUAAUUUUUGGUAUAUAGUUUUAAAAGCGUAUUUUUAUUUGUAUUACAAAAUAUGCUGCAUGUACACAGGUAUGUACUGUGUUUUUUUUAGCAACACUUAAACAUUGCUAUGAUUUGUGUCUUAAUAGUGUUAAACACUGAUUUGAAAUUUAUUCCGAACACUGUUAGAUUAUUGUGACGAGUGGGGUGGGGCCAAGAGCCGUGGGAACAGGCGAGGCCGGUGGAGUGAUUGGAAAUGAGCGACACCUGCUCAACCCACCUGUCUCGAGUUCCACGGAGGAGAUGGAAGGAUAUAAAACAGGAUUUUGGAUUUUAGUUGUUUGGUUCUUGUUUGUGUGCGGCAGUCGGCAGUGAGGGGCUGUCGUGCUGUUUUGUGUUUAUUUGAUUAUUAAAGUAUUGUUUGAUUGUCUGCCAGUCCCCGACUCCUUCUUCCUUUGAUCAUGGAGUUUUUAUUGUUACAAUUAUAAAUAAAUGUAUUGUACUUACCUGCCUUCCCUCUGGGGACAAAAUGCUUGGCAUUGCUGUAUCUUUUAAUAAAAUGAAUUUUGAAACCCAGCAAUAUUUAAAAUAAUUCUGAAAAAAAAAGUUUUUAUGAGUUCAGUUUUUAAGUUCAGUUAUGAAAUGCAAAGAAAUAAAAAAAAUCAUAUAGUCUCUCAAGCAUACUAUAAAAUAUAAAAUUCAGCCAUGUAUUUCUAAUGCUCAAAUGUUUAGGAGUUUACGGUCUUGUUUGACAUCAAAACAUUUACAUUCUUUUGAUGUGUAUUUUGAUGUGUAUCAAGGCUUAAUGUACAGUAUAAUAUCAGACACAAAUGAUCUCUGCAGUUUGAGCAAGGAGUUUUGCACAAAAAAAUUCAGAUCAUCUUGGUAAUUUUCACUAAUGUAUGAUGUAAAUCUUAAAGCACGGACCAUAAAAUUACAAAAAAAUUAAAAAACUGUAAUCAAUGCUUUUGCUUUUAAAUAUUUUUAUGCAGAAAAGUGUAGAAGAAAAAGUCAAGUCAAGUCACCUUUAUUUACAUAGCGCUUUAAACAAAAUACAUUGUGUCAAAGCAAAUGAACAACAUUUAUUAGAAAAACAGUGUGUCAAUAAUGCAAAAUGAUAGUUAAAGGCAGUUCAUCAUUGAAUUCAGUGAUGUCAUCUCUGUUCAGUUUAAAUAGUGUCUGUGCAUUCAUUUGCAAUCAUCUGAAAGUCAUCUGGGGAACUAGUUGUCCUGGUCUCCGCUGUCUUUCAGGGAUGUAGAGGUCCUUUCUAGGUGCUGAUCGACCAUCUGGUCUGGAUACGUACUGGAUCCGGGUGACUGCAGUGACCCUCUGAUCUGGAUACAGACUGGAUCUGGUGGCUACAGUAACCUCGGAAUAAGAGAGAAACAGACUAAUAUUAGCGUAGAUGAAAAGUGAAUGGAAUGGCAGGAAUACAAAGUAGAUAAAGACCAAUUGUCUUACCUCAAUGCUUCUGUUUUUACUGCUUCUAUUUCUGUACUAAAAGAUGCCCUGGUAUUAGCCGGCAGACUGUGGUGAAGCUAUAUAAAUAAAUUACUACAGGGGUCCACUAAAAAGUAGUAUAGACAAGUUCAAUAAAAUAUAUUUUUGAAACUGGAAAUGUAUUUACCGUAUUUUUCGGAUUAUAAGUCGCACCUGGGUAUAAGUUGCAGCAGUCCAAAAAUACGUCAUGAUGAGGAAAAAAACAUAUAUAAAUCGCACUGGACUAUAAGUCACAUUCAUUUAGAAACAAGAACCAAGAGAAAAAAUUGCCGUCUACAGCCGCGAGAGGGUGCUCUAUGCUGCUCGGUGGUAGGCUACAGGAGCACCUCUCGCGGCUGAAGACGGUAAUGUUUUCUCUUAGUUCAUUUCUCUUAGUUCCAUUUCUCUUGGUUCAUGUCAAAUUAAUUUUGAUAAAUAGGUUGCACCUGACUAUAAGUCGCAGGACCAGCCAAACUAUGGAAAAAAGUGUGACUUAUAGUCCGGAAAAUACCGUAGUUUCAAUACCAACUUUCAUAUUAUGGUGCUCACAAAACAGGGUUGAAAGCAGCUACAACAGAUAUUUCUAAGCAGCUACUUCAAAUUAGGCCCACUCAGACUACAUGUCUCCAUCCUCCCUCAGGAUGAGUGAAAUUAACAGUCAUGUACCUCUGUGCCAAUCUUUUUUUUUUUGUCUAAGAAAAAUAUUUGAAAUCUGGUUAGCUACAAAUGUCACUUAUCCACACCAUUUCAAUCAAAGACAAUACAUGCAUUGUCAUAUUUGAAGUUGUUUUAUGUAGACAGUUUUUUAUUGCACAAUGAUUUAACAGAGGAAACAAUAAUCUAUAUUUGCAUACAUGCAAAAAUGGGCGGUACUAGACACAAUUUUAAUGCUGAACAAAGCAAGUAAAAAAAAAAAAAAAAAAAAAGGGUAGUGUUAUAUUUGUUAAAAAAGGUAUUACUCUUAUAGUAAACAUCUGAGAAACUGUUGAGACCAAAAUGAGAAAUACAUGAGAAUCAAAACUAAGUCUCCUGAGGUUAAAAAGAACAACCACUGAGAACAAUAAAAUAUUUAUAUAAUGCUGUUGAUACUAAUAUAAGAGAUAUAUGAUAAUUUAAUGUUUCCCGAGAUUAGCAAAAGCAACCACUAAGCAAUCUUUUUAUUUUUAUUUUUUAUUUUUUUCCUAUGGGCUGACUUUGUUUAAAACACAGACUCCAUACCUGUAUUAACUCAUCUGAAAAAUUUCUACUUACCUUACUUUCUUCUGCCAUCCUAGGUCCCCUUCUAUUUUCAAUAUACAUGUUGCCCCUUGGAAAUAUUAUUAGAAAAUAUAGAAUUAGCUUCCACUGUUAUGCUGAUGAUACUCAGCUAUAUAUCUCAGUGAGACCAGAUGAAAUUUCUAAAGUAUCUAAGCUAAUGGAGUGUGUUAAAAAUGUAAAAGAUUGGAUGACAAAUAAUUUUCUCCAAUUAAAUUUGGUUAAGACAGAUAUUAAUUAUUGGACCAAAAACACUACACAGAAUCUUGUAGAUUACAAUCUGCAACUAGACGGAUGUACUGUUACUUCCUCUACAGUCAAAAAUCUGGGUGUUAUAGUAGACAGUAACUUGUCUUUUGAAAAUCAUAUUUCCCAUGUUACAAAAACUGCAUUCUACGAAACAUGUUAUCUGUUUCUGAUGCAGAAAAGCUAGUUCAUGCAUUGGCUCCCAAACUCUGGAAUAGCCUUCAUGAUAAUGUUCGGGGUUCAGACACACUCUCCCUGUUUAAAUCUAGAUUAAAAACGCAUCUCUUUCGCCAAGCAUUUGAAUAAUGUAUCUUAAACUGUGAGUGUAAUUGCAUCUGAUGAAAUGUGCAUUUUUUUUCUUUAGCUUGGGUUAAACUAAUUAAUUUUAGUUUGUUGGAUCAGCAGCUAUGCUAAUGAUGUCUCUAUUUGUUUCUAUGUUUUGCCAUGGGAUUUACAUCCCGUGGUAACUAGGAUUUACACAAGUUCCAGUCUGGAUCCAGAACACCUGAGAAGAGAUGAUUCUGACCCCUCAGAGGACCACAGAUGAUGCUAACCCUGAAUCAACAAACAGAACUAACAAAUAUUGCUACAAGUGUGACUGCAUCAUAUAAUAAUUAUAAAUUAUGAACAAUAUUAAUGAUGUUCAUCGUCUGGCUGACUACUUCUUGUAUAAAUUUUUCUACAAAUUCUGUCAUAUGUGCACAAACUGUACUAUACAAAUAAACUUGAAUUGAAUUGAAUUGAA